rnacentral:rRNA from 1 species
UACGGAGGAUGCGAGCGUUAUCCGGAUUUAUUGGGUUUAAAGGGUGCGCAGGCGGCUGCGCAAGUCAGCGGUCAAACCCCGGUGCUCAACGCCGGGCCGCCGUUGAGACUGCGCUGGCUGGAGUGUGUCCGACGGGCGCGGAAUGCGUGGUGUAGCGGUGAAAUGCAUAGAUAUCACGCAGAACGCCGAUUGCGAAGGCAGCGUCCGAGGGCAUGACUGACGCUCAUGCACGAAGGCGUGGGUAUCGAAC